AACGUGCCAUUUUUUUUUUUUUUUUCAACCUGGCCCACGCGACGUACAGACCCGCCACAAAUACAAAGUUCCUCUGUCCACUCGGGCAGAGUCUCCUUUGUAUUUGCACGGCGUACCAACGAUACAACAGGAUCACAACCACAACCUACAUUUACCAAUCAACAACCCAAGCAUGAUAUGCAUUUUCAUACAGCUAACAAUUCUUAGAAUGAUGCAUGCCUCUAAGCACUCCUUAGGCGCUGGAUGAUGCAAUGCACAGUACAACAAUCAUCCUAUUUAAAAGUGCUCCCCACACGGAAGCUUUUGUUUUUAAACUCUAUUUCAUUCAUUCAUAAAAACCAUUCGAAAACAUUNAUUAUUUUUAUAUAAUUUUUAUUUAAUUAAUAAUUAGACUUAUAAAACUAUAUAAAAAUAUUAAAAAAAAUAAAAUUUAUUAUAAAAAUAUUUUUAUAACCGUAGUAUCGCGCAGGUAUUUCAGUAGUCUACCAUAAUACGAUGGUAAGCGGACAUCUACCAUCGAACGAAGAAGACGUUCAUGAGAGAGAGAGAGAGAGAGAGAGAGAGAGAAAAUAGCUACAUUUAGGAUAGGUCAAAUUGCCCCUAAUAAAUGUUUAGGGGCAAUUUGGUCAUUAUGAAAAAUAUAACUUAUCGGCUUGAAGACCGCUUCGUAUUGGGGCCCAUUGGGGCCCAUUUUUCGCUAGUCAGCAAAAUAAAAUUUGGACAACAGUAAUUAAAUAGACAAAUAAUUCUCUAUAUUUUACUAGUGGAUUUGACUCAUCAUGACAUAUAGAAUGUGAUAUGAUAUAUGAACACAUAAAUUAUAUUUUUAUCAUACUUUUUUGUCGCAUUUAUAAAGUAAUUUGUCUGUAAUGCGUAAAGUAGUCCAUACUGCAAAAGCUUUCGGGUUAGAGAUUUUAUGAUUAAAAUUUUAGCUGCAAUUUACGGCUUCUUUUAUAUGGCACAAUAAAAUACCAGACACGGGCGGUGUCGAAAAAUACACUGUUCGACAGAGUAAAGACUUGGCAAAAUGAGGAUGGCACUAAGGGUGCGUUUGGUUCGCGCUAUUUUUUUAAGAUUUUUAGUAAUAUAAUGGGAAUAAGAAAAUAUGACGGUGUUUGGUUAAAGGCACUAAGUAAUCUAGUUGGUAAUAUUAGAUUCACUUGGGAAUGAGAUUCAUCCUAAUGUACUAAUCUCAUUCCCUUGCGGGAGAGUGGUAUCCUCGUAUUAAGGAAUUGGGUAAUUAUAAUAUGUCUAAUCUCUUUCUUUCUCCUUACCCGCAGACUAGUUAGUAUUAUUAUCUUUUACACUCUAACAUCAUAUCUCUCUCUAAACUUAUCUUUUUCUCUCUAAACUUCAACUCUUUUUCUCUCUCUAAACUAAGCUCUCUCUUUCCCUCUUUUCUUAAAAUUUCAACUCUCACACUCCCUCUAAUCUCGACUCUAUUUCUCUUCCUAUUAUUUAAUUAUGCUCUCUCUCUCUAACCUAUAUUUUCUCUCUAUUUUUUCUAAAAAAAUGUUGAAAUUUUUUGUAGCAUUAUCUAAAAUUUAUUAAAAAAAAUUAAUUAAUUAAUUGUAUAUUUUUUGUAAACUUAAAUAACAUGACUAAAUAAUAUGACCGUGCGAACCAAACACAUGAAUGCCACAUUCUUAGUAAUAGGAUGAAUAGCAAUAAGAUUCUCGGAUAUUUUUUUACUCAUAGUAAUCUUUCAUAAUACGAACCAAACAUGCCCUAAGGGUGCAUUUGGUUCGCACUAUCUUUUUAAGAUUCCUAGUAAUGCAAUGGGAAUAAAAAAAUAUGACGGUGUUUGGCUAAAGGCGCUAAGUAAUCUAGUUGGUAAUAUUAGAUUCACUUGGGAAUGAGAUUCAUCCCAAUGUACUAAUCUCAUUCCCUUGCGGGAGAGUGGGCAUCCUCAUAUUAAUGAAUUGGGUAAUCAUAAUAUGUCUAAUCUUUUUCUUUCUCCCUACCCGCAGGCUAGUUAGUAUUAUUAUCUUUUACACUCUAACAUCAUAUCUCUUUCUAAACUUAUCUUUUUCUCUCUAAACUUCAACUCUUUUUCUCUCUCUAAACUAAGCUCUCUCUUUCCCUCUUUUUCUAAAAUUUCAACUCUCACGCUCCCUCUAAUCUCGACUCUAUUUCUCUUCCUAUUAUUUAAUUAUGCUCUCUCUCUCUAACCUAUAUUUUCUCUCCAUUUUUUCUAAAAAGAUGUUGAAAUUUUGGUAGCAUUAUCUAAAAUUUAUUAAAAAAAAAAUAAAUUAAUUAAUUGUAUAUUUUUUGUAAACUUAAAUAACAUGACUAAAUAAUAUGACCGUGCGAACCAAUCACAUGAAUGCCACAUUCUUAGUAAUAGGAUAAAUAGAAAUAAGAUUCUCGAAUAUCUUUUUACUCCUAGUAAUCUUUCAUAGUGCGAACCAAACGUGCCCUAAAGUUUAAAAGACUAUUAUUUGUCAAUAUUAUAGCAGGAUUUGUUAUAUGAUUUUCUACCAAAGCAAUAUAUUUAUGUGUAAUCUACUAUGCUCCCAAAGUGGUGUGGAUGAUUUUCACUUUUUUACAUUUUCAUCGAAAAUGGUAGAGUUUGAAUGAUAAUGAUUUUUUAAAAAAUUUAGUGGUUUUUAUGAAAAAUAAUAUUAAUUUAAAAAUUAACAAUGAUCAAAAUGGUUGAUCUAAAUAUUAAAAAAUUAAAAACACUGCAUGAAUGAUGUUUUCGAAAAUACUAUAGCCGGACCCUAUAUUUUUUUGGACUUUUUUUAUAUUUAAUCCCCUCAAAAAAUAUUUACAAAUAAUCACAUAAAAUUUAUUUUUACAAGAUUGAUCAUGUUCCGGCCACGCAAGCACCACGCGGGCGUGAUUGAUCGUAGGUUAAAUUUAAUAUGAUGAACUAUUUACCAUACUUAGAUAUGGUGAAUGAUUUAUCGUGUCCUUUUAAUACAUAUUAUUUAAAAGGACACGGUGAAUUAUUUUCUUAUUAGUUUUUAAGUAAUAUAUAUCAAAAGAAUAUAUACGAUGAAUAAUUUACAGUGUUCAAUUUAACCUCACUGUCACACCCACGUGACACUCGCGUGAUGCCUAUAUGGCCGGGAUAAAGCUAAUCUUACUAAUAUAAAUUUUAUGAAACUAUUUGUGAGAAAAAAAAAAUUGAAAGAGUUAAAUGCAAAAAAAAGAAAAAAAAAAAAAGAAAAAAAAAAAAGAGCCCAUAUUUUUGUAGCCAUUUACAAUUUUUUUAACAUAUAUUUUUCAUAUGUGACUAAUAAACGUACGCUGCGACGGAGGGUUAAAAAGUUGCAACGACUUACGCAUUGGAGACCUGGCAUUUCCAUAGCUAAAUAUCCGUCCAUAUCAAGAACUAUACGUGCAAUUAAACCAGCUAGGUAGGAGCCCGGAAGGCGGGCUUUUGAUUAUCGGGUUGCUCUCGAAGAAGUUGAAAGGCCGAAGCUCGAAUCCCCCGGUUAACAGCGGCAUCAACGGAAAAUCUUCCUGGCAGGGGAUGUGGUGAAAUCCGACUGUGUACCACAACACAAUAUCCGUGUUCUUGAUCAAGCGAUUCCUGGUUAACCAAGAGAGAUCUUGAGAUGAGCCAUCAUUUUUAUUUGGAGAAAGCUUUAGUUCAAGAAAACUACUCCUUACAUAAGAAUAAGCCAGUUUGAUCGCUAACCUUUGGGUCCAUACGGCCAAGCCAUCAUCUCCUCUGCUCUGGUCGACGUAAAGCCCGGCGGCCCACUUCUCGGACUUGUUGUAGGCCGUCACCCACACCUGCUUCUUGGUGAAGCUGGCCCGGCGCUGCGGAUAGUCGUCAUCCGUCAUCAACGAGCCUGCAGUCCCCGCGCCGCUGAUCAGCCGGUACCCCACAUCGUUCCCCAUCUUCGUCUUCUUGCUCGGAUUCACGAUCAGCAGCUCUAUAGGUUCUUUUCCCACGUCAACCUGUGCAUCGGCCUCUGUCUCUGCUGUCUCUUUUACGACCGUCCAAUAGCUCUUCCGAGGGGAGUCGGACGAGGCCAACCUCACCGUCUUGAGCUUGGACUUGACGAAGGAGUUGUCGGUGCCGUCGAUGUCAAGGUCGAGAUAGUAAGUGAUGAAGUGGUCGUGGUAGACCGCGAUGGUGUUCUCAGCCAACAGACUGCCGUGGGGAUCGCCGGUUAUUUGGUCUGCAUGGGUGUAGGAUGAACCCUUCACUUCAAGGAGGCCUGUCAGUGCUACCUGUAUGAGGCAAGAAAGAGAAAUCAUGUAAAUUCUGUCCAGCAGAAAGUCAGCUGCUUCGAAUUGAACUAAUUUGUUAAGUUGAAUGAAUUCGUAUCUUCAUAUUGGAAUAAAAUAUGAUUAAAUUGAUUUUUCAUUGUUUACAUUUUUUAAUUAUUAUUCUUGGUUUUCCUAUGGACUUUGUAGCCAUUGGUAGUUAAAGAGCCCAAUCUGCAUAAAAAUUCAUUGAUUUUGAGUUUUUGUAAAAAUAAUCUGUCUUUUUAGAUUUUAUAGAUUGUAUACGAAUUUGACCAAAAUAUUCUUAUUCUUCUUUCUCUUUCUUUUUUUUUCACGCUCAUCUUUUUUUCGUACGGUUCGUUUUCUUCCUCCUUGCCGUUUCUCCUUUUUUCUUCUCCCACUCUCUCCUUUCUUUUGCUCCACCACCCCGACGUCAAAGUGCUCCUCUCUCUUACUUUGCUCGCCUCUCCGCUGAUCGAUGCCGGCUCGGAUAUGGCAUAAUUUACGAUAUGGUGGAAUUAUGGCCGCAGACGGUGACAGUGACAACGACGAGAGUGUCGCAAGUUUUGAGGACGAUGGAGAGAGAGAGCGCGUCGGGACGGAGGCGGUGGCAGCUGCGGCAAAGGACGAGGAAGGAGGUGUGAUAACAGAAAGUGACAUAGAGGGUGAAAGAAAAAAUAAAAAAAAAAAAGUUUUUUCUCCUAAAAAAAAUCAUUGUGUUAUAACUGUUAAAAGCAAACAAAAGAAAAAAUAAAUAAAUUUAUACUGUUUGAGAUCAAAGUUGCAUUAUUCGAGAAUAAGUCGUACUAUUUGAGACAAAAUUACACCAUACAAAAAUAAGUUGUACUAUUUUUGGACUAAACACUGUUUGAUAUUAAAUUGUACUAAUUGAGAGAAAAAAAAAAAGGAGAGAAGAAGAGGAUAAAUUGUACUGUUUGAGACGAAAGUUAUACUAAUAGGCAGUGUUUGGUCCAGAAAUAAAGGGGAAAUAAGCCCUUGUUCCCUUCUUCUUUCCCAAACGUCGCGUUUAGUAUCCGAGAACAGCCGGUAUAAAGCUGGAACUGAUGUUCCAUCUUUUUUCUUAAAACAAGCUUGUUCCUAAGUGGGAACAAGAUUAAUUAAAGUCUAAAUUUAGUUUUACUUAUGGUAUUAAAUUAUUAAUUAAUUUAAUUAAUAUAUUUAAAUCAUUAUUUUUUACUUAAAUAAUAAAAUAAUUAAUUAAAUUAUUAUUUAUAAUUAAUUAUUAAUAAUUUAAUAUAUUUAUCUAUAAACUAAUAUUUACAUUGUUUCUAUCAAUCUAAUUAAAAUGAUAUCGAAAAAUCAUUUUUAUAGGAUUUUUAUUUUCAGCCGUUAAAAAUUAUAGAUUUUGAAUCCUUUCGAUUGCCAGGUAAGUGAUAUUGAAAAAUCGCAAAAAUUAUUUUCUAGAAACUUCAAAUAUGCUAAAUCAAGUCUAACGGAGCCGAUCACCGAUUUGGAAAUUCCAUCAUGGAAAAUGGCUCAGUAGCACGGAGGCCAUCGUGCUCCUGAGAGCACAGCAGUCCUCUAUAUAUAUAUAUAUAUAUAUAUAUAUAUAUAUAUAUAUCUCAAGAUCAUCUUGUAUGANUGUUAGAACUUUACUCGCUCUGAUAUCAUUAGUUGCUUGUUAUCUCACUUCUCUUAUUUGUUCCAUCUCUUGCUUUUACUUUCGCUUUUCUUGUAGACGCCUUAUAUGUGUAGACAUAUGGCGGGUCUGGGCACGCUACCGGGAGGGCCUCUGCCGGUCCCGGGGCGUGACAUGUAUCCACUCAAGAUUGCUCCGAGAUCCGUAUUUUACACAAUCACAGUGUAGUUUCGAAACUCCUUUCGUAAUUUCUUGUGUCAAUAUAGAAAAAAUUAAUCCUUAAAUUAUGCUAGCAAUUUCAAAAGAAUUACCUAUAAUAUAGAAAUCAAUUAUUAUAAGAGAAUCUCUCUCUUAUAAUUAAAAGAGAGCUUUAUAUAAAGUCUUCCUUCUUUCACACUUCACUUUGUGUUCCACUUCUUGAGGGAGAUUACUCUCUUCUUUUUAUAGGCCUAAAAGCCAUUAGGCGGAGAGUAAGCUCCUCUAGUUGUUACAAAGAGAAUGGACAACCACCAUAAAUGAGAGGAAAUGAACUCCUCUCAUUUAAUAGAUGAAACAGAGAAAAAAAAAAAAAGAGAAGGAAGAACGAGAAGGGAGUUUUCUUUUCCAAUUAAUUAACUAUAUCAUUAAUAGGGUGAGUCACUACAACAGAAUUAGGUUAUAGGGACACAUGUUUGGGACACUUUUGAGUAAGUGUCCCAUUUAUGCUAAAACUUAAAAAAAAAUAUCUACUAAUGCCUAAAUAUAAAGCCCAAUCCAAUCAAAAAUAAAAGAUUACUCUACUCAACCCACCACACCCAGUCCAUUUGGCCCGAUUACAAACAGAAAAGAAAAAAAAAAGAAAAAUCAAUUACCAUCUUUUCUUCUCUCUUCAUUCAAUCCACUGAAAUUCUAGACGAAGAGCCUUUCCUGUCGUUCUCCUCCGCCACCGCAGCCAACGAGAUAGAGUUUCGGCGGUUGCUAAAUGCUUAAAUAAGUGUUGGUAAAUUAGCAGCACUCUUUUAGGUUAUAGCGACACUCUUUAACUGUCACUAUACACCUAGCGACCCCACAUAUAGCAACACUUUUUAAAAGUGUCGGUAAUUUUAGCUAGCAGCACUUUUUUGAUAUUUACCUAUAUUUAAAAGUGUCGGUAUAAACCAUUUUUGUUGUAGUGAGUGAAUGCAUGAAUUUACUUUUCAUUCUCCCUCACUCAUUUUCAUCACUUUGUAACUCCUCCAUUAAUAUUUAUUAAUUGAGAAGUUGAUAAGAGAAAGAUAGCUUUUAAUAUUUUUUGUGCACUUGCACCGUAUGCAACAAUUAUAUUUAACUCUAUAAUUUUUAAUUUCAUAAAUGGGUCCUUCUUACUAAACAACUUAGCAAAUAAAUUCUUACUUUACUAUUUCAGUAUGGUCUCUAUAAAUUCUCCAAGCACUCAAUCACACGUAGUUUUAUUGUAUGUGACCACAUAAGUUCUAUUUCACCUAAUAGUAAGAUGCGAUACUAAACUCUUUUAAUAUUACCAUUGGAACUUCUUUCGUAUAGACCAAAAUAUUUUUGUCUCUCAUAACUGAAUGUGAUUAACCAUCUUAAUCACUCUCGUUUUGGUCUCACAAUCCACAAGUGACACCUAAUAUGGUGGUUGUUAGUGUAGCUACGACCUAAUAUGGUGGCAGUUAAUGUAGCUACGACAGGCGGGACGGGUAUGUUCACAGUCCCUAGUGAGAUUGGGUCAGAGAUUGCUUUUCCUACAGAUUGUUAGUGUUGUUUCAUGAUAGUAUAGUGGCAUGUAGCUGUAGAUUAUUUUCAGUUUCUUACUAUCAUUGAGUAUACAUCUGUAGACUUAGUGUGUAACGACCCAGCCCACUAGCAACAAUAACUCGUUGGGCCCAACCGCCGGCCCAAAAUGCUUAAGCCCAGUUAUUAUUACUAGUGUCUAAGUCUCUUAUAAACCCAAUAACAACCCCAUUCCCAUCCGAUGUGGGAUUAUUGGGGUGUCACAGACUCCCUCCGUUAAGGCCCUGACGUCCUUGUCAAUCCAAACACACACACAGCCCAAGAUCGCCAGGCGAUGUGAGACUCGUCUCACUAGCCAGUCAUCUAGACCCUAGCUCAGCCGAGACUCGCCACACAUGUCCAGCUGGUGAACCGGCUCUGAUACCAAAUGUAACGCCCCAACUUCCCAGGGGUCACCCAUCCUAGGACUACUCCCGUCCUAGCACGCUUAACUCUCUUAACCUCUUGGGCCUUGCCACCACCUAAUAUGCUUAAGCCGGGUUAAGAGUUUAGCCCUAUUAUAUCUUAUAUAUAGGACUAUCUGGGGUCUCACAAUCAAAAUUUGUAACGCCCCAACUUCCCAGGGGGUCACCCAUCCUAGGACUACUCCCGUCCUAGCAGGCUUAACUCUCUUAACCUCUUGGGCCUUGCCACCACCCAAUAUGCUUAAACCGGGUUAAGAGUUUAGCCCUAUUAUAUCUUAUAUAUAGGACUAUCUAGGGUCUCACAAUCUCCCCUCCUUUAAGCCCUGACGUCCUCGUCAGGCUCAGACUCACAAGUACCAGGCGAUGUGAGACUCGUCUCGCUAGCCCGUCAUCCAGACCCUGGCUCAGCCGAGACUCGUCUCACACUUCCGGCUGGUAAUUGGCUCUGAUACCAUUUGUGACGCCCCAACUUCCCAGGGGGUCACCCAUACUAGGACUACUCCCGUCCUAGCACACUUAACUCUCUUAACCUCUUGGGCCUUGCCACCACCCAAUAUGCUUAAGCCGGGUUAAGAGUUUAGCCCUAUUAUAUCUUUUAUAUAGGACUAUCUGGGGUCUCACAUAAUGGGCGAGCCGUUGAGGUCGGUAGCGGUACCCACUGAGGACUACUUCUUUUUACAGUAGUUUUCACGUCCAGUUGUUGGAAUCUUUUGCAGAGCCUUCUUCUUCGGUUGCUGCUGCUGCUGAUUCGGAUCGAGGAAAGGGAGUCGCGAGUUAGAUCCCUUCCCCGUUGCUGCUGAUCUAGAGUAUACCAGCUACAGGUUGUUGUAGUUCUUUUUGGUUCAUUACAUACUAAUUUUGUAUCUCGCUGCCCAGAUGCUAUAUGUAUGUAUUGGACCACUGUUAUUAUUUAUGUUUUAUUUCUUUUUUUUGCAGCUCUACACUGCUAGUUGUAGUGUUGUGUGAUUAAAGGUACAGCUAUCGCUUCGUAUACAGAAAAAAUUUCUUUGUAUACGGCAGAUUUGUCGGCGUGCCCAGGGAAACGAGUAAUCCGGGGUGUGACAUUUUGUCUACAUCAAGUGUAAAAAUUUAUCGUAUGGAUCAAUUCUAUUUUUUAAUAGUCAAUAUAACAAAUAAAUAUAAAAUUUUAUUGCAUAGAUCAAUACUAUUUUUUAAUAGUCAAAAUAACAAAUUCGUAUGGUUUUUAUCCUUUUUUUUUUUAGUCCUUCUUAUAAUUUAUUCUUAUAUUUUUAUUGCAACAAUAGUUACUUAUUCUUCAGUUGAUUCUUUUUUAUAUAAUUCUUUGAAUCUUUUUUUACUUUCUUUACUUUAUUUAUUUAUUUAUUUUUACGAAAUCACGUCCUUCACUAAUAUUAGAGAGUCAAAAGUUUAAUAGACGCUUUUCUUUCUUUCUCCCUUUUAACUCACGCACCUACUUUUCUCCUCCUUGCUACCUCCGCUCUAGCCUUUUUGGCUGGAUUUUGGCUAGGCAUCUAGCUAAAAAUCCAACUAUUAGUGUAGUAACCCUGGAAUUCAGCAGCUGAGGCUUGUCGACAGCUCUGGAGAGUGUCGGGACAAGUCCGAGUCCUGUUGGCGCGAAAUAGACGCAAACUGGACUCAGCAGGACGCGAGAGCAGAGAGUUAGCAUUGCAAUCUGCAAAUUUCAGAUUUUCAGCAAUUGGUACCAUUACCGCACAGAGGCGUACGGGUACCCAGUGCAUUUUUCUGCGUAGACUGCUCUCGGGUUGGCCAUUCUGCUGCGUGGUACUGGUACAACAUUGGAGUGGUACCGGUACACCAGGGUAGGUAAAGGACUUUUUGGUCUUUUCUUGCCUCGUUUGUUUCACCUUAUCCCCUCUACAUUAUAUAGGAUGGAGAGAGAGGCUGAGGAGGGGUUUUGCUAUGCUCUCUCUCUCUUCCUCUUGUGCUCGGUCGUACGCAAGGAGGAGCUUGGGUGGAGGCGGAUUGUCACCGAUGUCGUGCCGCGGUGCCGUUUGAGCGUGCGUUCGUCGUGGUAGCGUCGUGGGGAGGCUGCGCGAGCGUGCAGUUUCGCUUCUUUCGACUUCUCGCCGUUGUUGGAUGCGCUUUCGAUGUGGGUUAAAGUGAUGCUUACCAAAUUCUACGGGUUUCCUCCUAAUGCUAUAUGUGUCGACAACAUGUAUUUUUAGCUUUGUUUAGUAUAUUGUUUAGCUCGAUUCUUAAAAUUUCAUGCCUAUGAACUUGAAUUGGAGCGUAGAAAAUUAGCUAAAAUAUACAUGUUGAACUUGGAUUUGACUUAGGAGAAAACUGACGUUUCUACACCGCCAUUUGAACAAACUACCAGAUUUAGCUCUAGGAGCCGUAGUUUGUUUGUAUCGACGCAGUUUGUGGACGGUGAAUACUUAGAAUAGUGUAGAAUAUAUUUAUACUCGUGCUGAGGUGCCGAGUGUAUUUUUACAGUAGUGUUUAGGCUGUUCCGGAUUGCCGGGUGCCGUUGAGGUUGACGGUGGACCAAGAUUGCUGUUUUUGCAUCAGAUUGUGCCUAGGAUACGUGAGUUCAGUUGUUAGACCAUGUUUACUUGACUAUAGCCUGUGAGAGUCUGAUUGAGCUCGACAGAGAUACGCUUGCAUACUCAGUUAGGUAGCGCCCAUGAGUGCCACUCCGGAGUCGGGCUUUGUGCUUUUGCGUUAGUGUCGUUUAGUCCUGGUUGAACUUGCUCUCCACUGACGACCUGGUUUAGUGUCAGAUUGUGUAGUUUCGACAGGCGGGACGGGUGUGUUUACAGUCCCUAGUGAGAUUGGAUCAGGCUUUAUUAUUUCCUACAGAUUGUUGGUGCUCGACCGAGAUAGUAUAGGUACAUAUAGCUGUAGAUUUAUUUCAGCUUUCUUACUAUACUUGUUUACAUCUGUAGAUUUAGUGGGUGAGCCGUUGAGGUCGGUAGCGGUACCUACUGAGGACUAUUUCUUUUGUAGUAGUUCUCACGCCAGUUGUUGGAAUCUUUUGCAGAGCUUUUUUCUUCGACUGCUGCUACUGCUGAUACGGACCGUGGAAAGGGAGUCGAGAGUUAAAUUCCUUCCCAGUUGCUGCUGAGCUAGAGUAUACCAGCUACAAGUAGUGGUAGUUUUUGUGUUCAUAUACAUACUUUUAUUGUAUCUCGCUGGAGCGAGUGUUUUGUAUAUCAGGAUACUUGCAUGUAUAGUGAACUUAUGUUUUUAUAUAUAUCAUUUCUUCUAGCAGCUCUAUACUACUGGUUGUAGUAUUGUUUGAUUACAGGUACAGCUGUCGCUUCGUAUACAGGAAAAAUUUCUUUGUAUACGGCGGAUUUGUCGGCGUGCCCGAAAAAACGAGUAAUCCGGGGGUGACAAUUAGGUUCGAAUUUUUGCGUUACUUUACUUAUUAUUUCUCUAAUAUUAUCUUCUAUGUUUAUGAUCUAUUCCAUAAUUAUCUAAAUUUUCAUCUUUCUUUUGCUUUAUUCUUUCGCUAUUCAAAACUCCUCUUUCUUUCAAUUUGUUCACCGUCAUCGACUUUAUGCCUAUCCUUCGUGCUGAAGCUUGGUAGACUCGGAGAUAAGGACGUCUCCAAGGUUGAAAAACUAAGAGAUAUAGGCAUUCCGCUGUGAGUCGCAGGACAAAAGUUGGAUCGAAAAUACAGUAUAGAUAAUUAUUUUUAUCUAUAUUAUCUAUAUUAUAUUUUUCCAUAUUAUGAGCUUAAUUAAUUUGUUAGUUGGUACAAUGGUUCAGGGAUUGAUUCAGAUAAUUUUCUCUUUUCUUCUUUAGGUUCGAAAACGGUUAACUUUAUCUUCUUUUUUCUUAGUUUUGAGAUACUUAUAUUUUUUCCUUCUUUCUUGAUAUAAAAUAUACUUAUUUUAUUUUUCAAAAAUCUACAAUGACGUAACCAAGCUCUCCUAUGUUUUUUAAUAAAAUGCCUACUGGUGUUAACCUUUUAUAAGUUGCAUUUGGUUUGGUUAUAAGUAAGAACUACUUAUUACAUGGAUAGGUACAAGUUCAGAUAUAAGAAGAAAUUAGACCAAUUUUGCAUUUCGAUAAAAAUUUUGCUUCUACAAAUAAGAUAAAUAGUGUUUGGAUGGUUAGAUUGGAACAAAGGGAUUAAGAGUUACAAUUUUAAAUUAAAAUUAUCUUAUCUAAUUAAUUAACAUCAAAAUAUUACUUAAAAAUAAUAAAUUAAUAUUAAUAAUUAUAAAUUAAUAAAUAAAUUAAUUAAAUAAUAAUAAAUUUGUGUUUGGAUGAAAAUUGAGUUAUUCCUAGANNNNNNNNAAUUAUAAAUAAUUAUAAAUUAUAAAUUAAUUAAUUAAUAUUAAAAUUAUUAAUUAGUUAAUUAUUAAUAACUAUAAAUAAUAAAUUAUUAAUAAUUAAUAGUAAUAAUAAAUUAUUUAAUUAUAAUUAAUUAAUAGUAAAUAAAUAAUUAAUUAAUAAUAAAUUAAUUAAUUAAGAAUAAAUUAACGAUAAAUUAGUUAAUUAUAAAUUAGUAAAUUAAUUAAUUAUUAAUUAAUAAAUAAAUAAAUAAAGUAAUUUUUAAUAAUUAUAAUUUAAUUAAUAAUAAUAAUUAAUAAACUAAUAAAUUAUUUUAUAGCUUAAACAAUAAAUAUUGAUUUAAAUAUAUUAAUUAAAUUAAUUAAUUAUUUAAUACCCAAAUUAAAAUUAUUUUUAAACUUUAAUUAACCUUAUUCUCACCUAGAAACAAGUUUGUUCCAUAGGAAAGAUGAAACAACAGUUCCAGCCUUAUAUCGGCUUAUUCCAAAAAUCUAAGAACUACUAUUCUCGGGUACCAAACGCAGCGUUUGGGAACAAAAGAGGAAACAAGGGCUUAUUCCCCCUUUGUUUCCUAACCAAACGCUUCCCAAAUUGCUAUUUGGGAUUAAAGGGGGAUAACCUCUUAUCCGAUCCUCCAUUAACCCUAAACCAAACAGUGUUAAAAAACUAUAAAAAAAAAAGGGGAAAACUUCAAAAACCCCCCUUGUGGUUUCAAUUUUUUUCACUUUAGUACUCUGUGGUUUAAAAUGUAUCAAGUUAGUACCCUAUGGUUUCUCACUUUAUCACUUUAGUACCCUGUGGUUUAAAGUGUAUCAAGUUAGUACCCUGUGGUUUUGCACUUUAUCACUUUAGUAUCCUGUGGUUUUAAUUUUGUAUCAAGUUAGUACCCUGUGAUUUUUUAAAUCACAAGGUACUAAAGUGAUAAAGUGUGAAACCACAGGGUACUAAAGUGAUAAAGUGCAAAGCCACAGGGUACUAAUUUGAUACACUUUAAACCACAGGGUACUAAAGUGAUUAAGUGAGAAACCACGGGUAGUAACUUGAUACACUUUAAACCAUAGGGUACUAAAAUGAAAAAGUGUGAAACCACAGGAGGGUUUUUGAAGUUUUCCCAAAAAAAAAAGAAAAAAAAAAUUGUUACCCCAAAUUUGAUGGAGCCACUGGCCUUGAAUUCCCAGUCCAUCACAUAAUCGUAAUUCCCCAGCGCAGCCACCAUCCUCACAACCAAACUCACUUCCGGUCGCACCUCCCUUAUCUGCAAUUUCACCAUCAUCAUAAACAUAAAGCCCAAACCCAUAUAUCAACCUACCGAAAAAAAAUAAAAAGAGAAAUCUAAUUACUAAAAAUACACAUGCAGUUACUUUUAAUCAUAUUGCCUUCAUGCACUUACCACUCCUUCCGGUAACCCGAACUCCGUGUGCCGCCACGCAACGUCGCCGGCGUAGCGCUGGAACACGCAGAAAACGUUCUCAAUUUUGAUAGGCUUGCCAUCCUGCCCGGCGUAGUACCCGUCCAAGAAUGCCGCGCCGGCUGGGCAAUCAGCCUCGGGCACGAGAGGGGAGGCCCACAGCCCGAACCCGAACUCGCCCUCGUCGAAGAACGUCCGGUAGUACCACUCGUCGACCGGGUCCAUGUAUGGCACGAACAGCUCCGACACAAACCCUCGGUAGAGGACGCGGCGGCAUGCACACUUCUCACCAUCGUAGACGGACGCGAGGGAGAUGAUGGCACCGGCGCGGACGUCGUAGCUCAGGUGGAACUCCCAGUUAGCCCACCUACAUGAAUUAAAUUUUUAAUUGAGCUUCAAUGCUUUUAAAAGUACCGGAUUAUUCGCGCUUAUAAAUUUUCGGCUUUUGGAUAAAGAAAUGUGCGAUUAAAAUAAUACCGGUCCUUUAAAAUUGAGUGGAUAAUUUGUUGAAUAGUAUAAUUUAACAAGUAAAAAUGAUCAAAAAAAUUAUAUCUAAUUGUUAAAAAAUUACAAGCUUUAAAGAGUUUUGUGCUUUUAAAAAUAUCAUAACAGGACUCUAGAAAAUAAUAUUAUAGUAUUUUAUAUUCAAUAAUAUGCUGUUUGGAUCGCUCAAAAUCUUCAUACGAUAGUUUAUGCUACAAAUUCCCUCAAGCGGAAAAUAAGAGAAAAUAUAAUAGUUUUCUUGGUUGAUACCUUUUGCUUCGAGUUAUAAAUUUUUAUUUUUCUCCCCAGAUUUGUGCAUAAAUAUCUAAUAACUUGUUAGAAAAUGGAAAAAAAAAAAAAAAAAAAAACAAUUAGGCGUAGUAGCUAGCUUAGCUCCGUAGCUACCUGAUAAUGUUGCCGUUGAUCUCGAACCCUGUCCCCUCCGGCUGGCCGACCGAUCCCGACUUGGUGCGCCGCCGGUAGUCGGUCCCCUCCGCCUUGGGCACCGGCAGCUGCACCCGAUCCCUAUACUGGACGAUCUGCAUCUCAUCCAUAUCCACCACAAUCGUUAUUCCCUCCAGCGGCCUCGCGUAGAAGUUCGCGGCCUCCCCCGCCACGAAGCACGGCACCUUCAGCACCCUCUUCCCUUUCUUCCGCUCUCCGAACCAUCCCACAGAGAACGUGCUGCAUAUCACUUGGCUCAAAUCCACUCCUCUCUUCGCAACCGACUCGAUGAACGGCGUGUAGCUCAUCGGUAAGCUCACGGCCGCCGCCUGCUCCGCGAGAGUGAAGAUAGGGUACCCGAUGCCUCCGUAUGUAGAAUCGGAGAUGAUUUUGCUAUUGGUUAUAUCGACGUAGAUUUCGCGAGUCUCUUUCCCGGCGCGGGCGACGACGAAGGCUCGACGGGGCGGUCGCGGAGCGGCGGUGGGGUUGGAUAGGAAGGAGAGGAGCUGGGGCUUGUCGGGUUCGUCGAGGCCGACGUAGUGGAAGGAGAGGGGGCCGGAGGAGGAGCCGAGAGGGGACGCAAGGAUUACGCGGCGGAUGGCGGUGAUUUCGUCGGGGGUGAGGGAGUCGAGAGGGUGAGGAGAGGUUGAGAUUAAUGAGCACGAGGUAGAGAAGAGUGAGAGGAGGAGCGCCGAGAAGAUCAAGGGGAACAUUUUGGGGAUGAAUUAAAAGGUAACUCUGCUGCUGGAGUGAAGAGAAAAGCUGCACAUGCUUCUUAUGCCAAUGAUUCAAAAGCCGGCCGAUUCGGUACUUGCGACGGUGAUCCAAUCGAUAAAAUAGUUGGAUUUAAUAUUUGGAAAAACUUCAAUUAAAAAAAAUCAUGUGAUUUGACAUUUUUUCACUCCUAUACUUUAUACUUUAGAGUGUAUCGAGUUAAUACUAUGUGGUUCCGCACUUUCUUACUUUAAUACCCUGUGGUUUAAAGUGUAUCACGUUAGUGUUAUGUGGUUUCAUUUUUUUAUCAAGUUAGUACCCUGGGUUUUCAUUUUUUUUUUAUUAUUCAUUUUGGGAUAUUUUUUUUGUUAAAUCAGUGACACAGUUAUAGUUAAAGAGUACUAAAAUGAAUAUUCAAUAAAUCUAGAUAGGAUAUCUGAAAUUUUUUGUAUAUAAUUUAACGAAAUAUUAAAUCACAGGGUACUAAAAUGAGAAAAUGCGAAACCACAGAGUACUAACUUGAAACACUUUAAACCACAGGGUAUUAGAGUGAGAAAGUGCGAAAUCACAGAGUACUAACUUGAUACAUUUUAAAUCAUAGGGUACUAAAAUGAAAAUGUAUGAAACCACAUGGGGGUAAUUUGAAGUUUUCCCUUAAUAUUUUGAACCAUUUGAAUCAAUAACUGCGUCAUUGAAUCUGUAAAUCGAUCCGAUUUUACUUAAGCUGAACAGUUUUUUUUUUAUCAAAUUAUAUUAAAAAUUCAACAGUUUAAAAUUAACUUAACUAAUUUUAUUUUCUUAGCACGUAUAAAUUUUAUAAAAAAAAAGUAAAAUUAAAAACUUAUAUAUACUUAAUUUGGCCCAAAAAUUAAUAUUCUAUAAUUAAUUAUAAUAUUAGAAUAAUAAUAUUUAUUGGCCUUUUUGCAUAAAAAAUCCACUUAUUUUGGGCUUUUGCAAAAUCGGGUCACUUUCUUCGUUUUUGCAGAUUCGGUCCGCUUUUUCAGCAAACUGACCAAAAUACCUUCAUUACUUUUUCUCUUUCCUUUUUCUCUCUUCUCUUCGUUCUCUCGUUCUUUUUUUUUUCCGCCGAAAAAAAAGGCGAAGGCCGGAGCACCGCUAGGCGGGCUCUUCUUCUUCUUCUUCCUGCAGGAGCAAUUUUUUUUCUCUUUUUCUUUUUCUUCUUCUUCUUCCUCCUGCUGGAGCAUUUUUUUUUUCCCUCUUCUUCUUCUUCUUCUUCUUCUUUUUCUUCCUGUAAGAGCACGAAGCGCGCACAGCGACUUCCGGCCUCGCCACAGAGCCCGACCGCUCGACCCCGACGCCCCGCUCAAGCCGGGGAAGCUCUACUUCCUCGUCGACCUCCCCCGCGCCGACCCCGAGCCCGACCACCGCCGCGAGGGCGCAACCGGCGCCGGCGCCGCACGUUCCUACUAGUUGGGCCCGAAGGAACGGCCCGCGUCGACACGAGCGGCCGACGCUCGAAGCCCGACGUGCCGCUCAAGGCCGGAAGCCUUUACUUCCCUCCCACUGCGCCGACCCCGAGCCAACCACGCCGCGCGUCGAUUUCACCAUUACAACAUUUAAUGGUAAAUGGUGGCACCAUUAACCAUUAAUGGUGAAAUUACACCAUUACACAUCUAAUAGUGUAAUGGUGUAUGGUGUAAUGGUGUAAUUACACCAUUACAGCCAUACACCAUACACUAUUAAUGGUGUAAUGGUGUAAUUUCACCAUUAAUGUGUAAUGGUGCACCAUUACACCAUUUACGAAACCCGGCCAGCCGGGACAGCGAGCGCCCGCGCGGAGACCGCCGAGUCGACGUGCGGCCUCCUCCGCCGGCAACGGCGACGGAGAGGGAGGCGUGGCGUGCACCGGCCAACCUCAAAGCCUCGGCGACCCCGACCUCCCCCGGCUCCGCUCGACCCGACGCCCGCAGGCGCCGCGUGCACUGCCCGGCGUGCUGCGGCGCCAAUCGAGCUCGGUGGCAGAGCUCGGCUCGGGCGCCGUCGCCGCGGCAGAGCUUAGCCGCGGCGCGGCGACGGCGACGGCGCUGAGGCGUUCUCCGCCAGAGUGGCUCUGACGGCCGCGAUCGGCCCGAAGCUGCUGCGGAGCGCGGCGACGGCGGCGGGAAUUGGUGGGUUUGGUGGACCCGUGCUUGGGCGCGGAGUACGACGCGGAGGAGGCCGCGGAGAUGGUGAGCUGGCGGCGGCGGUGCAUUGCGGGAGCCCGAGCUUGAGGCCGUCCAUGGCGGAGGUCGUGCGGCCAUGGAAGGAGAAGGCGUGCAAGUCGAUCUCAGCCGUUCGUGCGAGAUCGAACGGCAAGUGUGAUUCGUAAUUUCUCUUUUUUUUUUGUGUUUUCACUUUGUGUGUGGUAUACUUAUGGAGUGGUGAUUAGAGGUAGAGUGAAAAGGAAAGGUGAAAUGAGAAACAUUGAAAUGUGUGAUAGCCAGAAAUUGUUUGUUGAGAAAUAAAAAAAAUAGUAUUGCAGAGUUUUGUAUUGAGUUGCCAGCAAUAUUUGAUAAUUUUGUUUCAAUGAUGAUUAUGAUGAUGAGGAGGGGAGGAGGAGAAAGAGGAUAUGAUGACGCCGACGCCGCGCCCACGCCGCCCCGCCGUGCCUCGUUCCUCUGCGCGGCAGUAGCGGCGGUGAAGCUCUGCGCGGUGACGGCACCCCAAGCCGAGCUCUGCUUGCGGAGCUCGGGGGCGCCGCGGCACGCACGGGGCCGGUGCACGGCGGCCGGCGCGGCGUCGGGGGUCGAGCGCAGGGCAGGGAGGUCGGGUCGGCCGAGCUCGAGGUCGGCCGUGCACGCCAAGCCCUCCCUCUCCGUCGCCCCCCGCCGCGAAGGAGCGCGCACGUCGACCCGGCGGUCUCGCCACGGGCGCUCGCUGUCCCGGCUGCCGCGGUUCUUCGUAAUGGUGUAAUGGUUACACCAUAAUGGUGAAAUUACACCAUUAAUGUGUAAUGGUUACACCAUUUAAUGGUGUAAUGGUGAAAUCGCGCGGCGGUGGUCGGGCUCGGGGUCGGCGCGGGGGAGGAAGUAGAGCUUCCCCGGCUUGAGCGGGGCGUCGGGGUCGAGCGGUCGGACUUGUAGUCCGACGCCCGGCCUUCCUCGGGCAACUAGUAGGAACGCGCGGCACCGGCGCCGGCGCCGGUUGCGCCCUCGCGGCGGUGGUCGGGCUCGAGGUUGGUGCGGGGGAGGUCGACGAGGAAGUAGAGCUUCCCCGGCUUGAGCGUCGGGGUCGAGCGGUCGGGCUCCGUGGCGAGGCCGGAAGUCGCCGUGCGUGCCCCGUGCUCUUACAGGAAGAAAAAGAAGAAGAAGAAGAAGAAGAGGGAAAAAAAAAAUGCUCCAGCAGGAGGAAGAAGAAGAAGAAGAAAAAAAAAAGAGAAAAAAAAAAUUGCUCCUGCAGGAAGAAGAAGAAGAGGAAGAAGAGCCCGCCUGGCGGUGCUCCGGCAUUCCCAUUUUUUUUCGGCGAAAAAAAAAAAAAGAACGAGAGAACGAAGAAGAGAGAGAAAGAGGAAAGAGAAAAAGUAAUAAAGGCAUUUUGGUCAGUUUGCUGAAAAAGCGGACCGAAUCUGCAAAAACGAAAAAGGUGACCCGAUUUUGCAAAAGCCCAAAAUAAGUGGAUUUUUUAUGCAAAAAGGCCAUAUAUAUUUGAUAUAAUAAAAUAUAAAAUAAAAGGUAAAUAUUUAUGACAUUAUAUUAUUAUUGAUUGAAUCAGUAAUUCUUUUUUUUUGAGAGAAAGGUAGCAUGCUACCGCUUCAUUUAUUAGGGACGUGAAUUUAGCAAAGGGGAGAAGCAACUAGGCUUCAAAAAAAAAAAAAAAAAAAAAAAAAAACACAACCUCUAAACACAGUAUUCCUCCCACGCACUAACGGUAACGCGAAGAUCCGUCAGCACCUGUCUCACCGUGCGCUUUGUGUCGUCAAAAAUUCUUCUGUUUCGUUCUAACCAGAUGGCCCGCCAGGUAGCUAGUAGGAUAACAGACUCCUUCCUUCCUACAGCUCCCCGUUUACCCCGACACUCAUUCCAAAGGCUGUCAAUAGACAAACAUGCCCUUAGGAAGGCCUUAUUAGGCAAUAAGCAUCCCAGCAGUGCACGUGUAACAUCACAAGUUAAGAAUAGAUGAUCAACAGUCUCAGCUUCAUCCAAACAUAGCGUGCAUGCGGCCACGCCCAACCAACCCCUCUUCGCAAGAUUGUCCUUAGUGAGCACUUUCUUCAGCAAUACCAGCCACCCGAAGAUUUUCACUUUAAGUGGGAUUUUACUUAUCCAAAUCAUCACAAACUUCAUCUCAGUUACACCGUCGUUCUGCAUAAAAUUGUACAAAGAUUUAACCGUAAAGACUCCCGAAUUACACCAUCUCCAUAUAGUUUCAUCCCCAAGUUCAGAUAGGUUGCAGGUGUUAACUAGAUCUUUCAAUGCCACGAUUGAGUCGUCGUCUGCGGUGGAGUAUGCCGUAAACCCUUGUAAAAUCCUUUGCCACCUCCAGCCGUCCGUGCCUAUAAACUUCCCAACUCGUUGGUUUUUCAUAACUACGGCAUUGAAUAUAUGCAGGAACAUCGAUUGAAGAGAUAUUUGUGCACACCUUCUGUCCCUCUAAAAGCUCACGGAAGUACCAUCCCCUAUGCUGUAGGAGACCCCGCACCAGAAAAUCUCUCUAGUUAACAUAACACUCUGCCACCACUGGGAGAACGGUUUGAAUGAGAUUCCUUCUCUCAAGGGUAUCCUUCUAGUAUAAUACGCCCCUCGUAUAAAAUUUCUCCAGAGAGUAUUCUUGUCUGAAAGGAACCUCCACCACCAUUUAGCUAGUAACGUCACGUUCAUUAUCUCUAAAUCCAGGACCCCAAGGCCGCCCUCCCUUUUGCUCCGACAAACCGUCCUCCACCGGACCAAACAUUGACCCCCGAAAAUGGUACUCCUUCCUUUCCAAAAGAAGGCUCUCCGAAGUGCUUCAAUACGUUUAACAACCAAUUUUGGUGCUCUGAACACAGAAAAGAAGUAGAGGGGUAGGUUCGAGAUUACCGAGUUGACCAGGACUAACCUGCCCCUAGUGGAAAGGAGUUUAGCCUGCCAUCCUUCUAUCCUUCGUUCAAUCCUGUUGAUAAUUGGCCACCAGUCUGACUUGCGUAGUCUUCUAUUCGUAAGUGGAAGUCCCAGAUAUCUUGUAGGGAAAACACCUACUUUGCACCCUAAAAUUUCAGCCAAUCUGUCGCCUUGUUGGAUGUUUGAACCUAAAUAGAACAGUUCCGACUUGCUCCUGUUAAUUUUCAACCCCGAGGCCCACUCGAAGAUAUGCCAGACGAAACGGAGAUUCCUCACUUGUCUUUUCUUGGCCUCAUAGAAGAAGAGGGUAUCAUCAGCGUACUGAAUAAAAGCUACUUUUGUAUCGUUAGUAGGCCCCACCCCUUUCAACAGGCCGCUGCUAACAGCUUUAUUCAUCACUCUUGCCAGACCUUCAGCAACUAAGAGAAAUAAAUAGGGCGAAAGGGGAUCGCCCUGGCGGAGGCCCCUCUUAGUUUUAAUCCAUUUGGUCGGGGUGCCGUUAAUAAGAACAGCGACUUUCGCCUUAUCUAUACAUUGUUCAAUCCAACUACACCAGAUAGGCGCAGCCCUGAGCCACUGCAAGAUCUUCAGAAGAAAGUCCCAACUCACUUUGUCGUAUGCUUUUUCGAAAUCAGCUUUUACACCGACAGUCUCUACACCCAUUUUUGAGCACCAGCUGACCACUUCACUUGCAGUUGCAAACGAAUCUAAGAUUGAUCGACCCUUAAGAAAGGCUGUUUGCGAAGGAGAAAUAACACCAUGGAGAAUGCCUUCCAGCCUAUUAGUGAGUACUUUCGAAAUAAUUUUUUGUACUCCAUUAAUCAGACUGAUAGGCCGAAAAUCAUUAGCUGUCUUCGCCCCUUCAUCUUCGGAAUUAGACAGAUGUACGAAUAGUCAAGGGGGGCGGAGUUUAGAGACCCCCCAAACAAAUCACUGAAAAUAUUGAACAAAUCCGCCUUGAGUGUUUCCCAGAACACCUGAAAAAAUCUAAGGUUGAAACCAUCCGGCCCCGGUGCUUUAUCUCCUCCAAGUUGGAAGGUCACUUUUCUUAUCUCUUCCAUGGAGAACGGUAUAGUGAGGUUGCUGUGAUUUAAUAACAGCCUAUCUAAGAACAGCUCGCUCCAAUCACCUGUUGACCGUCUAUCGCCUCCUCCAGGUGCAAACACUCAUUUAAAGUGCACAUAGAAAUAUUCCUUUAAGUCCUCCUUUCUUUGUAGUGUCUUGCUAUCGUCUUCUACUGUUCCGAUGGUGUUCUCCCUUCUUCUCCUAUUAGCCAUAGCGUGAAAGAAUUUCAUAUUUCCAUCACCCUCUUUGAGCCAGUGUUGCCUAGCGCGCGUCUUCCACAGUAUUUCUUCGUCAAGGAUCACUUUUGACAGUUGCCGCUUGAGCUGAUUCCGUCUCUCAACCCGUUGAGUCGUCAGGAGCUGUUGCUCUUCCAAGGUAUCGAGUUUUUGAAUCUCGUCUGAUAAAUCCUUCUUCGUUCUGUAAAUAUGGUAGAAAUGAACCUUGGAUCACUCUUUAAUUCUUUUUCGGCAAUGUCUAAGUUUAGCCGCAAAGGUAAGUGCACUUGGUCCGGUGAGUGUAAGUUCCUCCCACCAUACAGGCACCAAAGAACGAAAAUCCUCACGCGUUAACCAUACUUCCUCGAAUCUGAACAGCCGACGGGACCUCUUAUCCGCAGUAGAUAAAACGAUCGGAGCAUGGUCAUAUGUGAUUCGCGGCAAUGCAAUUGCCUUUGUAAGCGGGAAAGACUGAUCCCACUCAGUGGAAACAAGAAACCGAUCCAACUUGGCCAUGGUAGGACACUGCUGCAUGUUGGACCACGUGAAACUCUGAUUACCCAGUGGGAUGUCGAUAAGCUCCAUAGAAUUUAGUAAAUCUGUAAACAUCGUCAUAAGGCUAGUACUCUAGCUACUCCCUCUUCUCUCAUUUCGAUUUCUGGUAAGAUUGAAAUCACCACAUGAAAUCCACCUUCCACAGCAAUAGUUUUGAAUCUUCAUUUGGAGUUGGGCUACUAUACUCUUAUGAGUACGAUCGUUUUCGUACUUAUAUAUCGUUUCGAUGAUAGAGCAUCCGAAUCGACGAUCCAUACCGUUAAAUAUUAUCUAGAGUAUUUAAAAUUUUUAAACAUUAAAUUUCAUAACUUUUUUUACAUUAUUUAUUUUACGAUAAAAAAAUCUCAAAAUUAAUAAUUUGAAACGAUCGGUAUGAGAUUCUUGUUAGUUUAACAGUGUGAAAGUAUCGGUAUGAGUUGAAUUUUUAAUAAAAAAAAUUCUAUUCACUGUCUAGAUAAAAGAUCAAUAACUCCGAUUUCAAAUUGAAGAAUCCGAUUAUUUAUUUUUAAGAUCUCGUUCGAUUUUGAUCAUCCAUUUUAUACUCAUUUGAUGGACUUUGUUAUGAUUUUAAAAAAUUAUAAAAUUUAAUUUCUAAAAAUUUUAAAUAUUUUAGAUCAUAUUUAAUGAUAUGAAUUGAAUAUGAAAAAAUCUAUGCUAAUAAGAAUAUAAUAGACCUAUUUCUUUAUCGGAUCUAAUUUUUAAAACAUUAAUUUAUUCUCGUGGGCGCGUGUGCGGAGGAGCUAAAUAAAAUUCUCGAUAUUCGUCACUAGUGUGAUUAGUUGCACUGGACCAAUAAUGAGGUAUAGGUCGUAAUCCCACCCACGAACAUUCAAAGACCAACUCAUUUUUAAUUAUCUCCUCACUUUUUUCUUUUUAAUAUUAAAGAUAAAAAAACCGACGAUUCCUAAAACAAGUGUCAAAGGGUUUGAUGGUUGAUACCCAAAACCCAAGUUCGAAUCCUACUUGAUUCACAUUUUUAGCUAAGUUUAUUUCUAAAUAAAAUAAACGAAGCGGGUAGCGUGCUAUCUAUCUCUCUAAAAAAAUAUUAAAAAUAAAAAAAAGUACACAAAAUUCUAGAAUAUUUAGUUUACAAUCUAAAAAAAAAGGGAAUACGACAACUCUUUAUGUUUGAGUUAAUCUACACAUUUUAAAUUUUAAUAUUUAAAAAAAUUGUUGAUAGAACUAGCAUAUAAAAACUUGGAUUGUAGAUGAUCAAAUUGUCGGAUUAUAAUUUUUUUCAUAUUGUAAACCUAGCAUCAAUAGCACACAUAAAUUGCAAACCCUAAAAAAGCCCUCUCUGUGUUUGGCCGCAUGGUUUGAUUUUGAAUUCUCAUUAAUGCUCAUUAGCAUGGUAUAUACAGCGAGUAUUCAUCCUCAUUCAUGCUUAUUUGAAGGGUAAAUACAAUGCAUUCUUUUUGCUUCGUGUGGUGUCCUAUCAGGCACGGUGGUUCACCUUUUUCUUUUUCUUUCUCAUCCACAUUCUAGUCGUUCAUCUUUAUUUUAAUCAAUAUUUCUAAAAUAAUAGAUUAUUUAAAUCUAUAGAUUAUUAAAGCAACAUUUCUCUAGUUCAAUUAAACAUUUUAUUCGGACUCUCAAUCGACUAUGGAUAAUUUGCAUCAACCCAACCGAGUAAGGUGAUAGCUAAUAUUAUUAGUGAUACAAUAGGGCAUUAGAUUUUUUUUAUUAAUAUAUUUUUCUUUACACUGAUAUUUUACUUUAUUUAAAUUAAAAAUUAUUUGGUACAUUUUGGUAAAAUAACUUUUUAGUAAAUUAAUUAUUUUAUUUUUUUUAAAAUCAUAAUAACCAUAUAUGUUGGGAAAUAAACUUGGAGAUUUAAUUAUGAUUUGCCUUUUAACAUCUAGAGGACGUGCAGAUUGGCUGUUGGAUUAAGGGACUCUCAAUCACUAUGGAUUAUUCGCAUCAAAUGAUCAAGACCAUUUCUUGCAAACCACAUGAAAUUAACCAUAUGCCAACAAAAAUAGAAAAAAAUAAAUCAAUAACCAGUAUUCACAAACAACAAUAAUAACAAAGUACAACUAAAAACAAUUAAUGUAGUAAUUAAUUAUGUUUUUAUAUACUAUAACAACACGACCAAAAAAGAAUAAAUUCACAAUUAAAAAAAAGCAUAUCAUAUAGAUAUAAUAAAAAGAGAACUCUAAAGUGGCCACGCGUCACCUUCCCAGCGACCCCCCCUUCUCAGCUCUGCCCGAUCCCUUCGCUUGCGCCGAGCGGGGUCACGUGCCUCCCGCCCCGCCUCUCUCCUCUCGGUAGGCCCAGAUCCGCUGCCCUCCUCUCUCCGAUCCCUCUUCUCUCCGAUCCGAGCCCCACCCCCCCGUCGGGUGUUUGUCGGGCCCUACUCUGACCUCCUCCUGUGCUCGAUGUACGUGCAUUCCAUCGCUGCGCCAGGGUUGGCCAGAGUAUGGGAGUGCCCGCGGUAUCUCUUCUCUCUGCUCCCCAUGUGCAUCCCGAUUCUUCUAUCUCUGCAAUCCCUUCCUCUAAGCCCCGAUUCCGUCCCCGACGCCGCCGGAAGUGGGUGGGGGAUCUGCCCCUUUCUUUCCUCUGCCGUCGUCCUCCCUCCUCCUUCCGGAUCUCUCAACCUACAGUCUGCUCAGGAAAUGGCAAUAAAUAGUCCUAGCACUAUGCAGAGGGGGGCAGCUUGCUUGCUUGCCUAUGUUUGAAAGGUUUGUUGUAGUUGUUUGCCGGUAGCAUCUCCUCUAAUACUCUCUUUACUGUCUUUGUGGCUUCAGCCCUGUCCUGCCAUCAUUCUUCUCGGGCUGUGGCCCCUGCGGAGCCCUAUUGUCACGUCCCGGGGUCCCUUUUUAGUUUGGAAAAACAGCGGAAACGACUAAAUUUUUUUUUGAAACACCUGACCCCAGAGUAUGUCAGAUCCGCCACAAAUACAGGGAAUCCACUGUUCACACGGACAGAGUCUCCCCUGUAUUUGCACGGCGUCGCACAAGUACAAAAGUACAAAUAGUAUACAACCACAACUAAAUGAAUAUACAGAUAGCUAUACAUUCAUACAUUCACCAUUCACACCGUAGUUUUACAUUCAAUGUUUAAACAGAAAUCCACGAAAAAUCCUUUUGAAAACUGUUUCCUACACGGAAACCUUUAUUCGUUAAAAACGCUAUCACGAGGGGUAGAAAACCUUUUAUUUUACAAAAUCCAGAAAUCCACANUAGAACAGCUAAACCGGUCGAAACGAGCUAUUGGACUAAUAUGAACGGAGUCCGAUACGCGCCAGAAGCCAACUCUACUCCGUGGCUUCUCCGGAAAACCGGAGUUACUAUUCACUUAAGUGAAAACUAAAAGUCGCGUAUCUUCUCCAUUUUAGCUCAUUUUCGCCCGAAACUUGACGAGUACUUAUGUAAUUAAAUUACACACAUAAACAUCAUCAACAGAGAGUUUAGUAGCACUGUCGAAAAAAAUCUCAGUCCUUACACCUAUCCUCGCAUUGUUCUUUCCGGACUGUGCCCCGUGCGCGUUGUACUGCUGCCUCAUCACUUUUGGUGAGUGGGCAACAAUCUAUUUGCUUUGGGGUUCUGACUCCCAACGACCUUCUUCGGUCCUAUUAACCUUUUUCUGAAAACCGUGUUUCGACAAAAAAAAUAGGCUUUAUACUUAUCAUAUAAAAAAAACCCAAGAAAAAAAGCUGAACACUUUUGAUUAACUGGGCGGUGUUCUACACGGGCUAAAUUAUUGUGCUCUUUUCUUACCUCUGUUUAGUAGCUAUAACUUAUGUUGGGUUCAGGAUUUCUUUCCCGGCCUUCUUCGGGUCCCUCAGAAAUUUGAAUUUUGCUGUUUUCUAACAAUCACUUAUUAUCGAAGUGCGGUUCCAACAAAGGCAAAAAAAUUAGUCCUUUAUACUUGACACAUAUAAAAGUGGGGUAAAAACAAUUCUGAGGUCUUUUGCUUGGAAUUUUUUGGGUUCCUCCGAAACUGGAAUUUAGCUGUUUGAAAGUCCUAUGUACUUGAUGCAUAAGAAGAAAGGUAAAAAAUUUGCUGGGUGCUUUUGAUGGCUUGGACUGUGUGCUGCUCACUCUAAAGAAAAAAAAAAAAAUUGCUUAGGCCUUUUGAUGACUUGGACUGUGACUUCCGCAUUGUGCGUGGACUUCUUUGGGUCCCUCCAAAUCUUGACUUUAAACCCCCCCCUCACCCCCCUUACCGCCCCCCUUCCCCCUUCAAGCAUUCCGCAUAACCAGCUGGUAAAAUUGCUUAUAUACUUAUGGUUACGCACUUGGAAUGUCUCUGCUGUUGCUUUCGAUAAUUCGCAAAAACGUCCUCUCUGUUAUUUCUACUUAACAUGUCUUGUGGCUAGUUGGGCAAAUAUUUAUGUGACGUUCAUUUAUUUCUGUAAAAAAAAAAAUAACCCAUCUCAUUAAGUACGUAUAAUAAUUUGCCUUUGCAUUGACCCUAGUUUCUGUCUUGGCAGCAGUUAUUGAGAUAUCGGUAAUUCAGCUUUCGAACACUAUGUUACUUGGUGAAAUUGCCGGGAAGCUGGGCGUUGAAACGCCCGAGUGUAUUGUAACUAUAAGAAAACAGACAUUUUGUGGCAAAUCUAAUGGCCACAAAAUGAAACAAAUUCGCCACAAGAGGUCUUUUGUGGCGAAACUGAUUUCGCCACAACUUCGCCACAAUAGGACCGCUACAAAAAGUUUUAAUAGCCAAAAUAAAAUUCGCCAUAAAUUGUUCUAUGAAUUUGCAGCAAUAUAAUUCGCCUCAAUACUUCUAACAUCCGCCACAAUUAGUUAACAUAUGGCUACAGAUAUUGAUUAAAAUAAUAAUAAAAUAUCUAACAUUUUGUGAGAAAAUUAUUUUUGGCCACAAUCGACAUCGUAUAAUUUAUGGCAAAUUUUAAUACCAGCUACAAAUAGUAUUGAAUUUAUUGUGAGGAUAUUUAUUUGUUGGCCACACAUGAUGUCAGAUAUUUUGUGGCAAAAUGCAAUAUCGGCCACAAUUUUAGUUGCAACUAUAGUAGCGAAAUUAAGUACUUGGUUACAAAUAGUCUCGUACAAAUUAUGGCGAAAUAUGUAUGGCUACAAAUAAUAUUAUAUUUGUUAUAGCGAAAUUUAGUUUUGGCUAUAAAUAAUUUAGAAAAUUUUGUGGCCAAAUGUUGUUUCGAUCACUAUAAUCGUUUCAAAUUUUAUAUGUAUAUAAUAUAUUGUGGCUAUUUAUUAUUUUGCCACAGAUAACUUGUAGUAUUAUUUGUUAGUGGGCGUUUUAGCUCUAAAAAAAUAGAUUUUACAGAUUAUCACCGUAUCACACUGAAUACUACUUAACCAGAAUUUAAACAUAAUAUCAAUCACAAUAUUCAAGACAUAUACGCCAUAAUACAAAAAACGACUAUAUGUUCAAGUGCCACAAUCAAAAUAAGCUAACAGUUAAUUGUUCACAUCAAGUAUCAUUUGCACCAAACCACAUAAGUUUUUAAUCUCAUCAAAGUCACAUCUCAUAUUACUGACUUUUUAGAACAACGAAAAAAAAACUCUAAACUAAGAGCGAAAUGAAGUGCCUGAGAUGAUCCAACUUGAAAAUAUUGAGUAUCCAAGACUUAGUCCUAUAGAAUUAAAAAGAAUAGUGAUAAGAAUAGUGCAUAUUAUCUAUUUUUUUCAUCAAAAAGCAAAAGAUACCUAAGACAUACUAAAUUAAAUAUAGUAUAAGCUGAAAUAAUUGCAAUUGUAUAACUUACAUUUUCUGUUGACGCUAGCUGAAAAGUAUAGACAAUCCCAUUUGUGAAAGUUGUUCCAUCAUGCUACGCAUCUGACUAAAUAAUUUAAAGUUAAAUUAUGAAAUCAUAUAAUUUUUAUCACGUGCAUGUUAAUGUGCCAUGCAUUUUACAAAGUCAAUGAUCUUUAUUCCUCUAAAAUAUUACACAUAUUUAUUGACUUAUGAAUAAAAAUAAAAAUAAAAAUAAAAUAAUGAACUCCAAAAUUAGAAAGGGAAAUAAUUAAAUCAAACUUUUAUUAGUAGAAGGAGUGUCAAUCAAAUAAAAAAGGUUUAGGGAUCUUUUUCAAAAUAAGCUAAAGUUCAAAAGAUGUUUAUAUAUUUUGACCAAAAUUACACUUAAGCAUGAGGGCAGAUUUACAUGUAUACCUAUUAAGUAAAUCAUUAACUUUAAACUUUGACCAACAUAUAUAUAUAUAUUUUCACCAAUCUUUCUUUAUAAAAAGUAAAUCAUCAACAUGUAUACCAGAUUUACAUGUAUACAUUUUAACCAACCUUUCUCUAUAAAAAAUAAAUCACCAACUUUAAUCUUGACAAAAAAAAAUUUCUUUUUUUUUAAACUUUGUUUUCUUUUCUCUAACUGUUCAGUAAAUAGUGAGGAUAUAGAUCCUAUCUAAACUAAAUAAGUGCAUAGAUGAUUUUCAGAUGGUUUAAUCCACUAAUAUUUUAUCAUCCGCAAAAAAAACUCACAGAGUAAUAAAUAUUAUUAUAAAUCAUAUAACUCUAAAAAAAAAUUGAUUAUAUAACAUCUUGUUAAACUUAUUAUAAAUACAAAAAAAAUUAAAAAACUAAAAAUCUAAAACUCUUGUUCCUAAUAAAGAAUGGGUUAUGAAUAUAUAAAUAAAAUUGCCAUAUAUUUUAUAUAAGAGUAUAAUCAUUCAAAAUUACAUCUGCAUAUUUUCAAUUAAAAAAAAAAUUCAACACCCAUCUAGAUCUAGAGAGAGAGGGAGGGGGAUAGAAAGAGCAUACUUGCGAGUGUUAGUUGGAAUGAAGAAGACCACGUUGCUCCUGCCGUUCGCGGUGUUGAAUUUGAAGGUCUUGAUCACGAGGUUGUUGCUAAUGCAAAGCGACGCGACAGUUAGAUUUGCAGGAAAUGCAAAUAUGGAGACGGCGAAAAGUUGUGGAAGCAUCCGUAGGAGAUCUCACAAACCCCAUGUUGUUAUCAAUGUCCUCUACAUAGAAGAUGAAAUCUCGAAUAUAAUGUUGCCGGUAAAGCGAGGUGGCACAAGAAACGGAAUCGCCGGAGAAGCCGUGGAAGGUUAAUGGGGUGGACCGGUCGAAGUGGGAGGCAUGCUAUGAAAAAAAUUUAGGAUUUUUAAGUUUGUUUAAGGUGUGUUUCGUUUGAUAUAAAAAAGGGUGAAAACAAAAAUUCGGAUGAAAAAUAAUUUGCAGGUUCAAACUUAAAAAUUUUUUGUCGAUCCCUCUUUUAUUUUCCACGCGAGACCGACAAAAAACGAAAUGCGUAUAGCGAAAAUCGCGGGUCACACCUCAUCUCCUCACGAGCAUGUUUUCACGCGAUCCAUGAGGCCAUUUGGCCUCAUGGACCGCGUGAGAGGGAGGUCCAUGCUGGACCUCCGUGUGUGUGUGUGUGUAGGCCAUGGCUACUAUACUAUUAUGAGUAUUGGAGUCCUCGUACUCAUAAGUUGUUUUCGAUAAUAGAGCUUCCGAAUCGACGAUCCACUCCGUUAAAUAUGAUCUAGAGUAUUUGAAACUUCUAGAAAAUAAAUUUCGUAAAUUUUCGAAAUCAUAAUAAAGUCCAUCAAGUGGGCAUAAAAGGAACGGUCAAAAUCAAACGACGUUCUAAAAAAAGAUGAUUAGAUCCUUCAAUUCAAGAUCGGAGUUAUUGUUCUUUAUCUAUGUAGUGAAUAGAAUUUUCUAUCAAAAAUUCAACAAAUUCCGAUUCUUUAACACCGUUAAACUAGCAAGUAUCCCAUAUCGGCCGUUAAAAAUUGUCAAAUUUGUGACCUCUUGAUCGUAAGGUAAAUGAUGUCGAAAAAUUAUAAAAUUUGAUUUCUAGAAGUUUUAAAUGCUGUAAAUAACGUUUAACGGUGUGGAUCGUCGAUUCGAAAGCUCUAUCAUCAGAAACAACUUAUGAGUACGAGGGCGAUCGUACUCAUUAAUAGUAUAGUAGCCGGACCCUAUAUAUAUAUAUAUAUAUAAUUAUAUAUAUAUAUAUACUAUAUAUAUAUAUAUAUACACUUAUAAUUUACGCGGUCCACGAGGCCAUUUUGGCUUGGUGGACCGCGUGAGAGGGGAUCCAUGCUGGACGUCCCUCUCGUGUCUGUGUCUAUAUAUAUAUAUAUAUAUUAUAUAUAUAUAUAUAUAUAUAAUAUAUAUAUAUAUAUAUAUAUAUAUAUAUAAUUUGUUUAUUUUUUUAUUAUAAUAAUAUUUAUUUAUAUAUAAAGAUAAAUAUAAUAUUUUAUCUAUAAAUUUGUAAUAUUAUUAAUAUUUUGAAAUAUAUAAUAAUUAUAUAUUAUGUAAUAUAUUUAUUAUAAUUUAAAAUAUAUUUAAUCUAUAAAUAGAAAUCAUAAAAAUAAUAUAUAUAAGAUAAUAAUUAAUAUAUAUUAAUAAUAUAUAUAAUAAAAAAUAUAUUAAAUAAUUUUUUAUCUUUUUUUUUUCCUGCAAACCAAAUACUAAACAACUUAAAACUUUUUUUCCACUGAAAAUUUUUUUUCACCGACAUUUGUUUUGUCCACAGUUUUACGUGGAACCAAACGCACCCUUAGAAUUUUUUUCGUUUUGCUCCAGAGGAAAAGCUGAAAAGGCGCUAUAUGCCUUGCAGUACAAGAAAGUUUCAAUAAAAAAAUUAGGGCAACCUUUUGUGGCCAACUAUUAUUUGGCCAUACAUAUAGGAGUUAUUAGUGGAGAAAUUGUAAAACAACAACAAAUACAAAGCAAUUUUUAUGCACAUUUUUACCAUUGUAAUUUUUGUGGCCAAAUAUUAUAACUAGCCACAAAACACAUUUAGAAUUUAGGGUUAAUUUCACUAGUGCCCUUCAAAAGGUUGAUAAUAUCGUAAAUACCCUCACAAAAUCAGUAAUAUCAUAAUUACCUCACAAAAUAUAUAGAUUCUUUCAAAUCUACCCUUAUUUGUAAACUCUGUUAAAUUCAUGUGAGAUUAAAAACUAAUUACCAAUUUUGCCCUUCAUCCUUGAAAGGUAUUGGAGGUUAUAGUAAAAAAAUAUAUAUUCAACUUCCUCAACUAUAGACUAUUUUGAAAAAGAUCCCUAUUUUUUUUCCUUGUGUAAAAACCCCAUUCAAUUUUCAUUUUUUUGAUUUAAAUUAACAACGGUGAAUUUCUUGGAAUUUUCGAAGCCCUAGUCCGCGUGCUGCGGCUAUCUGUACGGCAAACGACGUUUUUGUAAAUAACUUUGCGCACACUCGUCGGAUUGUCGAACCAAGCGUUCCAACGCGUUUAAAAUACCCUCAAUCAGGUUUCUACAUAAUCAAAAUAGAUCAAAACCUCACUUGGGCAAAACCCCUCUUUGGGAUGCCCUAACAUGCCAUUUUUGCAUUUCCCCUAAAUUUAUCUUAUUACUAAGCAAAAGAAAGCUUAGAUACACAUGGAAAGCUCUCUAAUAAGGUUUCAAAGCUUUUAGAACCAUCCCUAGGGCAUCUACUUCGAGCCCUAGAGAUCCACCAUGAGAGGGGUCCAAGACAAUCAUGGAUUUCAUGGUUUCAAGGUCCCUAGAGGGUUUCCUCACUUGUAGAGAGAUCAAAACCCAAAAAUCUAAGGUCUAAACCCAAACUCUAAACUCAUUUUUGCAUUAAGGACUCACCUUUGCCCAAGCUCCACCCAGGCCUUCUUGUUGGAGAGCUUCUAGAGCCACCCAAGCCUCCAAAUCCACCUUCUCCAAGCUUUUCUCCUUCUUCUCCAAGCCCUAGCCCAAGCUUUUAGAGAGGGAAAGAGAGGAAAUGAGAGGGAGAGGAGAGGAGAUGGGUUUUGCUGUGAAAAUAGGAGAGGAAUAGGCCAAAUAACAUGUUGUGACAUUUGCAAUUAGGCCCCUCAACUUAAUUCUGUAGCAGACUUCACCCCUGCUGCCAGAGCCCCUGUGUACCGGUACACGGAUUUGUGUACCGGUACGGGCCUGCGCAGAAGCCCAAACCCGAGAGCAAGGUCGCUCGGUUUCGCAGCUUGUUUACCGAUACACGGGUCCCGUACCGGUACACCUUCGCGCAGACUCAAACCCGAGAGCAACCUGUGCUCGGGUCGCUUGCUGUACCGGUACAGCCAUCAGGCGUACCGGUACACAAUGCUCCAAAUUUCAGGUUUGGCUCCGAUUCGACUCUAUUUCGCGCCGAUCGAUGCCAAACUCAUACUAAUACCUCUUUAACUCAUUUUUACCCUUCCAAACGUGUUGGAAUGCAAAAUGGUACUCACCAAUACAUUUCUCUCGACACUUUAACCAAUUUGAUUAAAGUUCGAUUAUCGUUUUCGGGUUUCGAUACGUUACAUUCUCCACCCCUUAUAUUUAGUUUCGUCCGCGAAACUAGCUUAAUUUAACUUAAAUUCAUACCUCAGUUCAGCUCGUUGAAGAGAUGAGGGUAAUGUUCCCUCAUUGCGCUCUCGAGCUCCCAAGUAGCUUCCCGGUCGUCGUGAUUACACCAACGAAUUUUAACAUACGGAAUCUCGCGAUUUCGUAGCUUUCUUACUUCUCGAUCGAUAAUGUAUGCCGGGAACUCCUCAUAAGUCAUAUCCUCUUGAAUCUUGGACGGUUCAAACGAGAGGACAUGAUCGGGGUCGUGAACAUACUUGCGGAGAUUUGACACGUGAAACACAUCGUGCACUCCCGCAAGCCUUGGUGGUAACGCUACCUUGUACGCCACCGCGCCGACCCGUUCUAGUAUCUCGAACGGUCCAAGGUACCGGGGACUUAGCUUCCCACGGAUUCCGAACCGCUUAAUCCCUCGCAUUGGCGAAAUCUUUAGAAACACGUGGUCUCCAACGGCAAAUUCUAUAUCUUUCCUCCGCUUGUCGGCAUAGCUCUUUUGCCGGGAUUGCGCCGUAGCAAGCCUUUGGCGAACAAGACGGACUUUCUCCUCCGCCUCCCGCACUACAUCGGGGCCAAGAGCCGCCCUUUCGCCCACAUCGCUCCAAUGAAUUGGAGAGCGACACUUCUUUCCAUAAAGGGCCUCGAAUGGCGCCAUCGCGAUACUUUCUUGAUAACUGUUAUUGUACGCGAACUCCGCCAUCGGAAGAUGAUCAUGCCAACUGCCCUUAUAAUCCAGUACACACGCUCGAAGCAUAUCCUCAAGUAUUUGUAUUGUCCUCUCCGAUUGACCAUCGCUUUGAGGAUGAAAUGUCGUGCUAAAGUCGAGCCGCGUGCCCAAAGCCUCCUGUAGGCUCCUCCAAAAGUAAGAGGUGAACCUCGGGUCCCGAUCCGACACAAUAGACACGGGCACCUCAUGAAGUCUCACAAUCUCGUCAAUAUACACCUGAGCCAACUUGUCCCCCGACCAUAUAAUAUGAAUCGGUAGGAAAUGCGCCGACUUCGUCAACCGGUCCACGACAACCCAAAUUGCAUCGUGCCCACCUUGAGAUCGCGGCAACCCGGUCACGAAGUCCAUUGCAAUAUUUUCCCAUUUCCAAACGGGUAUAGGUAAACUUUGCAAUUUUUCCGCCAGAAACCGUUGCUCCGCUUUUACUUGUUGGCAAGUAAGACUUUGCGCAACAAAUUCCCCAAUGUCUUUCUUCAUGCCCGGCCACCAAUAGUGCAACAUCAAAUCUUGAUACAUUUUGGUGCCGCCGGGGUGUAUACUAUACGGGGAUUGGUGCGCCUCUUGCAUGAUCGCCCUACGGAUAUCCUUAUUCUUAGGCACACACCAACAAUUUCUAAACCGGAGUGCGCCGUCGGUCCCAAUGCCAAAAUCAUCGGCACUACCGCUCUCAACUUCCUCGCGCACCUUUUGGAGAUAUUCAUCUGAAGUUUGCAACUCUUUAAUCUUCUCCAAUAGCGUCGGUUGAACAACCAACGCCGCAAGUGUCGCCUGUACUCCCGGUGCUACCACCUCCAAUCCAAGCCGUUGCAUCUCCUUUUGUAGUAAUGGCUGGGGUGUAAUUGCCGAAGCCAGAUUUUCCCCCGAUUUUCUACUAAGUGCAUCGGCCACGACAUUCGCCUUCCCAGGGUGGUAUAGAAUAGUAACAUCAUAGUCUUUCAACAAUUCUAACCACCGCCGCUGUCGCAUUUUCAACUCCUUUUGGGUGAACAGGUACUUAAGGCUUUUGUGAUCCGUAUAGAUCUCACAGUGUUCCCCGUACAAAUAAUGCCUCCAUAGCUUUAGCGCAAAAAUAACCGCCGCUAGCUCAAGAUCAUGAAUAGGGUAGUUCUUCUCAUAAGUCUUCAAUUGGCGUGAAGCAUAAGCUAUAACCCGCCCAUUUUGCAUCAAGACACACCCGAGUCCCACGUAGGAAGCAUCACUAUAUACCACAAAGGUCUCCCCCGGCGUCGGUAGAGCAAGCACCGGGGUCGUGGUCAACCUUUCCUUUAACUCCUCGAAGCUUCGCUCGCAUUCGGGGCUCCAAACAUACUUCACCCCUUUGUGUGUAAGGCGCGUUAGUGGAGUAGUUAUUUUAGCAAACCCCUCCACGAACCGCCGGUAGUAGCCCGCUAGCCCUAGGAAACUGCGGACCUCCGAUACACUCGUCGGGCGAGGCCAAUCCUUAAUUGCCUCCACUUUCCCCGGAUCCACCGAGAUACCAUCGCCCGAAAUUACAUGACCAAGGAAAGUGACCUCCGAUAGCCAAAAGUCGCAUUUCUUCAACUUGGCAUAUAACUUCUCUUUUCGGAGUAUUUCCAACACGGUCCUCAAGUGCUCCUCGUGUUCUUCCUCGGUCCGAGAAUAUACCAAUACGUCGUCAAUGAAUACCACGACGCACCGGUCCAAUAGCGGACGGAAGACUCUAUUCAUUAAGUCCAUGAACGCCGCCGGGGCGUUAGUAAGCCCAAACGGCAUCACCGUGAACUCAUAAUGGCCAUACCGCGUACGGUACGCCGUCUUGUGCACAUCCUCGGGCCGUAUCUUCAACUGAUGAUACCCCGAUUGAAGAUCAAUCUUUGAAUAUACCCUUGACCCCUGCAGCUGAUCGAAUAAAUCAUCAAUCCUCGGCAGCGGGUACUUAUUCUUCACGGUGACCUUGUUCAACUCGCGGUAAUCCACGCAGAGUCGAAGUGUGCCGUCCUUCUUCUUAACGAAUAGCACCGGAGCUCCCCAAGGUGACACACUCGGCCUCACAAAGCCUUUGUCGAGCAAGUCUUGCAACUGUGCCUUAAGCUCUUUUAGCUCCGCCGGUGCCAUUCUAUACGGGGCCUUCGAGAUUGGCGCCGCCCCCGGGACCAAGUCAAUAACGAACUCGAUCUCCCGGUCCGGGGGCAAUCCCGGUAACUCCGCCGGAAAUACAUCCGGAAAUUCGCAUACCACCCGAAUGCCUCCCAAAUCCGGGUGUUCUCUUUGGGCUUCUACCAUUGUCGCCAAAUAGGCUACACAACCACCUUUUAUCAUUUUCCUCGCCCGUGCCGCCGACACGGUCGCCGCGAAAAGUGAGCUUUUAGCUGCCUGAUACACUAGCUCCUCUCGGUUAGGCUCACGAAACGUGAUCACCUUACUCUCACAAUCUAUCACGGCAUAAUAUUUGGAGAGCCAGUUGGUCCCCAAGAUCACGUCGAAACCCCACAUCCGGUUCAACACCAAUAGAUCAAUCGGCAUGACCCAGUCACCUAUCUGCACUGGGCACGCUACACAUUCUUCGUGAACAUGAAAAGUAUGCUUGACCGAAUUUACCGUCCAAUAGUCAUAAUGGUGCACGAUCUUAAUGCUAUGAGUCCUAACGAAUGAUGCAUCUAUGAAUGAAUGCGAUGCACCUGUGUCGAAUAAAGCUCUAGCUCUGGUGCCUCUGAUCGAGAUAAUACCUGCCACGAUGUCGUCGGGGACAUGAAUCGGCUCCUUCUGCACCUGAGUGGCAAAAACCCGCCCACUCGGUGCCCUCGAUGCCUCCGGCUGACGCGAAGAAGAUGAACGUCCAGCCGACAUAGCCAGUGGUAACCCCGCCUGCUGUCUCGGGGUAUAAGGAACUGAUGCCGAGGUAGGUGCAGAAGAACCCCAGCUUUGGCACUCCCGCGACAUGUGCCCGGGCUGGCCGCACCUGAAGCACUUUCCCUCGCGCUGCGGGCAUACCGGUGGCCGAUGAUCGCCACUGCAAAUGACACAACGGAACGGCCUACCACUCCUCGACUGCUGUCGGGGAUACUGAGGGGGUUUCUUUGCAUUUGACCGGCCCCCGGCACCGCUCACCGCCCGCUUCUUCCCCUUGUCCCUUAACUCCGCCAUUGCCUCGCGCUCCUCUCGCACGUGGGCGCUGCCGUGCUCCGCCCACAGGGCUCGAUCAAAGACCUCCGCAAAGGUCGUCAACUUGAGGAUUUGCACCCUGUCACGCCCCGGGACCGAUACCAAUUUGGCUCGACCCGAGCACGUCAAACAGACGCCGAACGGAUAGGGUUUCCCCUAUCCGUCCAAGGCUCAUCACGCGUACAAAUUCAAACAAGAAAUGCACUAGCGGAAACAUACACAAACGGCUUACACGAGGAUAAGCAAUAGCCAUUAGUGAAAGAAAGGAAAACUAAACAUUUACAAGUACUAUGAUUCAUUUUUGAUCAUAUACAUUGCAUCCAUUUACAUUCAUGAUUCUUUAUACUUCAUUACACAUUGCAUCAUUUCAUUCUUACAUCACACUUACCUCAAAAUAAGCUUUACAUUCCUUUCUCAACAUCACUAGUCAUCAAAUACAAAAGAUGAACAUAGGGUACUCUUCCAACAAAAUAUAAACCCAACUUUGGUGGCCUCUGACUAAGGCACGAUACCUUUACCUCGGUCGCUCGCCGGCUCGCUCGGUCCCGGCUCUGUGGAAAUAGUGGGGUGAGAACUACAACAAAGUUCCCAGUGGGCUCGGCCUCAACAUCACCGACUUUCCCUCUAGGACUAACUUAGGCAUAAUAGAAAGGAUAAGCUGAAAUAUAGUAACCAAUCUACAACAUGAUGCUAGUAUGCCUGAACAAUAAGCAAGGAAUAUGCUCAACAUUAACAUAUGCAGAUUAUGCAAGUUCUUUGUUCUUUUCACGUUACUCUUUGUUUUUUGUUCUUUGCUCUUUGUUCUUUAUUCUUUAUUCUUUAAUCUCAAGGCUAACCCGGGGGUUUCGCCACAUUAACUUGCUUCACAUUAAGUCCAUCAUCGCAGGAACUCACCCGCUAGGACCGUCCUUCGGGUUUACUCCAACCCGUGAUGCAUAACUCCGGAGCGCAUCGCCCGAGGGGGAGCGACCGCCCUCGAGCACGGAACUCAUAGCAAGUAUGAUCAUAUCCUUAACUCAAAGGAUUUAUAAGUUCAAUCUUGACUUUACACUAGCUCUAGUGUUCUUUCAUCACUUUUUGUUGCCACUCUAGCAAUCAUUGUUCUUUACCAUUCAUUACUCUUGCUAACUCUAGCAAUUAUAUUCUUUACAUUCUUUACUUUUGGCUACCUCUAGCACUUCAUGUUCUUUACUCCCCACAUUACUUUAACUUUAAACAUUGUCAUUUUCAUCAUUCUUUACAUUACAUUGGUUCUUUACCUCACACUAUCUCUAGUGUCAUUUCACUUUAACUUUAUCGAAUGCCACUCGAUCUAUGUCAUUGUGUCACUCUGUUCUUUUGCUCACUUUGGGUGCUCACUUUUCUCUCAUGCAUACACAUAGGGUUUUCGACGUUUACAUAGUUCUCAUUCAUCAUAUUAUGCAAGUUGUACUCACAAUCAUGCAUCAUUACAUUUUCAUCAUUACUUUACCCUAAAAUGCAUGCAACAAUAUAUAUACACAUGCUCAAAUGAAUGACACAUUAGGCAUAGAGAGAAGUUCAAUGAGUUUGAGAAGCACCACCCACCUCGUAGGCUUUCAAAGGUGCUCCGACGAUUUUCUUGAGAUUUAUAGGCUCCUCGUUCUUCACCUGCGGCAAAACGAAGCCAACUUAGGCCAUUUUGCCCAUAUCUUUCUAUAAACUUUUCGUAACGUUAAUCCGAGCGCACCAACGCGUCGGAAAUACCCCCAAUUAGGUUUCUAGAGGGUCAAUUGCACUUAGAAAUCCCCAUGAGCAAAAGCCCCAAUUUGGUGCCCUAGCUCCAAUACAUAUAUCAAACCUAGGGUUUGAUCUCAAUGGGAAGCAAAAAGAGCUUCAUUAUCCUCUAAAAAGUCCAUUAGAACCAUCUUUAAACAAAUCAAAACCCUACUUAGGGUUUCACCAUGAGAGGUGAUGAAGCUCACGUCAAGCUUCACCAUUUUCAUGGUCUUGAUCUCUAAAAAAGCAAAAGAAAAGCUUCCAAUACUCUAAAAGUUCUAUAAAAACCAUCCUUGCUCUAAUCCAAACCCUAGUUUGGGAUUUAACAUGAGAAGGGGCAAAGCUUACCUCUAAGCUUGCUCCUUCCUUGCUCUAGAGAGGAAGAAGAUGAAGUUGCUUCACUCCAAUAGCUUCUUCUCCACUUUCUUCUUCUUCUUCUUCCUUCCUUUCCUUUGUUUUCUUCUCCUUCUUUGUCUUCUAGAGAGAGAGAGAGAGAGGGAUGAGUUUGGGUGUGAGGAAAUGAGAGGGAGAGGCUCUCUCAGCCCUAAACAUGACCCACAUAAUGCAUUUUUACAGAUAAGUCCCUCAGCUUUUAUCUCAUUACACUGCCCGAACUGGGCAGUUCGCGCAGCCGGGGGCCGGUCUCUCCUUCAGGGACCGGUUCCCGAAGGCUCUCCCCGCGCAGCCAGAGCUGUUGCGGGCAGGGCAACCGGUCUCUCUUUGGGGGACCAGUCUCUCGGGGACCGGUCUCUCAGGCAGGGACCGGUUCCCGAGAGCUGGUUUCUCAAGACUUAGCCGAUUUUUCGGCUGUUUCAAUUCAUACGCGUUCGGGGACCGGUCUCUCCCACCAGGGACCGGUCCCCGAGAGCUCAAAACUGCUGAAUGCAGAUUUUGAUUCUAUAGCUCUCGAAAACCUCCCGUAACUCGCUUUUAAUCAUUUCAACACCUUCGGACUUUCCGAAGUGUACCAUCCUCACUUUGGUCAAUUUGACUAAAGUUCGACAUCUUUAUUUUCCGAAUUUUCGGUAUAUUACAUUCUCCACCCCUUAAAAUAAUUUCGUCCGUGAAAUUACGCAUACCUUAACUCGGCGACUUAAACAUAUGCGGAUAUUCUCGCCGUAUGGUUUCUUUGAGCUCUCAAGUGGCUUCUCGCGCCGCGUGGUUGCUCCACUGGACUUUCACAUAAGGGAUUUUGCGACUCUGCAACUUCCUAACUUCUCGAUCGAGGAUGCACACCGGGUACUCCUCGUAUGACAUAUCCUUACGCAACUCCACGGGCUCGUACUCCAAUACAUGUGUCGAGUUGCGAAUAUACUUUCGGAGAUUGGACACAUGAAACACGUUGUGAACUCCCGCGAGUCUCGGUGGUAGUGCGAGCUUGUAUGCCACCGCACCCACACGUUCUAAUACCUCAAACGGUCCGACAUAACGGGGACUUAGCUUCCCACGGACCCCGAAUUGUUUGACUCCUCGCAUUGGCGAUACUCUCAAAAAUACACGGUCUCCAACCGCGAACUCUAAAUCCUUUCUCCUCUUGUCGGCAUAACUCUUUUGCUGAGAUUGCGCCGUCGCCAACCAUUGACGGGCAAGGCGAACUUUUUCUUCCGCCUCCCGCACCACAUCUGGGCCAAGAGUCGCCCUCUCGCCCACAUCGCUCCAAUGGAUAGGGGAACGACACUUGCGUCCAUAUAGUGCCUCAAAGGGCGCCAUUGCUAUACUUUCUUGAUAACUAUUAUUAUAGGCGAACUCCGCCAUCGGCAAGAAAUCAUGCCAUCCUCCUUUAUAAUCUAGUACUGUCACGCCCCGGGGUUCCUUUUAGUUUAAAACAUAGCGAAAAAGCGUCUGAAUUUUUUUUUUUUUUUCGAAAAGCCUGAUCCCAAAGUAUGCCAGAUCCGCCACAAACACAGGGAAUCCACUGUUCAUACGGACAGUCUCCCCUGUAUUUGCACGGCGUCGCACAAGUAUAAGAAGUCACCCAGGCACAACCACAACAAAUGAACAUACAAAUAACCAACCGUUAUAUAUAUAUUCAUACACUAUUCACCACAGAUUCACAUUUAUGCAUUCAACAUUUAAACAUAAAUCCACAUCUAUCAGUAAAAAUGUUUCUAACCACAGAAACAGAUUUUGAAAUACUACGAUGCAAAAACCACAUAAAACCUUUGAAAACUGUUUCCUACACGGAAACCUUUAUUCUUUAAAAACGCUACCACGAGGGGUAGAAAACCUUUCAUUUCAUAAAAUCCAGAAAUCCAUUUAUUACAUUCACGAAAAUCCAUAUUUUCGAAUGUAAACAAACACUGAACCACAUGAACCAACUAAACUAUACAUCAACCGAAGUAAGAAGGGUAAGAAACUAAACCGAAAUAACCUGGGUCGGAAGCUCUAUCGACCGCUACACGCGUACCUCACG
rnacentral:lncRNA from 1 species